rnacentral:rRNA from 1 species
UGGGGAAUAUUGCACAAUGGGCGCAAGCCUGAUGCAGCCAUGCCGCGUGUGUGAAGAAGGCCUUCGGGUUGUAAAGCACUUUCAGCGAGGAGGAAGGUGGUGAGCUUAAUACGCUCAUCAAUUGACGUUACUCGCAGAAGAAGCACCGGCUAACUCCGUGCCAGCAGCCGCGGUAAUACGGAGGGUGCAAGCGUUAAUCGGAAUUACUGGGCGUAAAGCGCACGCAGGCGGUUUGUUAAGUCAGAUGUGAAAUCCCCGGGCUCAACCUGGGAACUGCAUUUGAAACUGGCAAGCUAGAGUCUCGUAGAGGGGGUAGAAUUCCAGGUGUAGCGGUGAAAUGCGUAGAGAUCUGGAGGAAUACCGGUGGCGAAGGCGGCCCCCUGGANGAAGACUGACGCUCAGGUGCGAAAGCGUGGGGAGCAAACAGAUUAGAUA